rnacentral:rRNA from 1 species
UCAGCCUAACACAUGCAAGUCGAGCGAGAAGGUUUGUGAAGAUUCUUCGGAUGAAUCAUAGACUGGACAGCGGCGGACGGGUGAGUAACGCGUGGGUAACCUGCCUUGUACUGGGGGAUAACGUUUUGAAAAGAACGCUAAUACCGCAUAAGCGCACAGAGUCGCAUGGCUCGGUGUGAAAAACUCCGGUGGUACAAGAUGGACCCGCGUCAGAUUAGCUAGUUGGUGAGAUAAAAGCUCACCAAGGCGACGAUCUGUAGCCGACCUGAGAGGGUGACCGGCCACAUUGGGACUGAGACACGGCCCAAACUCCUACGGGAGGCAGCAGUGGGGAAUAUUGCACAAUGGGGGAAACCCUGAUGCAGCGACGCCGCGUGAAGGAAGAAGGAUUUCGGUUCGUAAACUUCUAUCAGCAGGGAAGAUAGUGACAGUACCUGACUAAUAAGCCCCGGCUAACUACGUGCCAGCAGCCGCGGUAAUACGUAGGGGGCAAGCGUUAUCCGGAAUUACUGGGUGUAAAGGGUGCGUAGGUGGUUCUUUAAGUCAGAUGUGAAAGCCCGGGGCUCAACCUCGGGACUGCAUUUGAAACUGGUGAACUGGAAUACAGGAGAGGUAAGUGGAAUUCCUAGUGUAGCGCUGAAAUGCGUAGAUAUUAGGAGGAACACCAGUGGCGAAGGCGACUUACUGCACUGUUAUUGACAC